GAUGAACGCUGGCGGCGUGCCUAAUACAUGCAAGUCGAGCGAACGGACGAGAAGCUUGCUUCUCUGAUGUUAGCGGCGGACGGGUGAGUAACACGUGGAUAACCUACCUAUAAGACUGGGAUAACUUCGGGAAACCGGAGCUAAUACCGGAUAAUAUUUUGAACCGCAUGGUUCAAAAGUGAAAGACGGUCUUGCUGUCACUUAUAGAUGGAUCCGCGCUGCAUUAGCUAGUUGGUAAGGUAACGGCUUACCAAGGCAACGAUGCAUAGCCGACCUGAGAGAGUGAUCGGCCACACUGGAACUGAGACACGGUCCAGACUCCUACGAGAGGCAGCAGUAGGGAAUCGUCCGCAAUGGGCGGAAGCCUGACGGAGCAACGCCGCGUGAGUGAUGAAGGUCUUCGGAGCGUAAAACUCUGUUAUUAGUGAAGAACAUAUGUGUAAGUAACUGUGCACAUCGUGACGGUACCUAAUCAGAAAGCCACGGCUAACUACGUG
rnacentral:rRNA from 1 species